rnacentral:rRNA from 1 species
GCGUAAGCGCACGCAGGCGGUCUGCUCAGUCGGAUGUGAAAUCCCCGGGCUCAACCUGGGAACUGCAUUCGAAACUGGCAGGCUAGAGUCUUGUAGAGGGGGGUAGAAUUCCAGGUGUAGCGGUGAAAUGCGUAGAGAUCUGGAGGAAUACCGGUGGCGAAGGCGGCCCCCUGGACAGAGACUGACGCUCAGGUGCGAAAGCGUGGGGAGCAAACAGGAUUAGAUACCCUGGUAGUCCACGCCGUAAACGAUGUCGACUUGGAGGUUGUGCCCUUGAGGCGUGGCUUCCGGAGCUAACGCGUUAAGUCGACCGCCUGGGGAGUACGGCCGCAAGGAUAGAACUCAAAUGAAUUGACGGGGGCCCGCACAAGCGGUGGAGCAUGUGGUUUAAUUCCAUGCAACGCGAAAAACCUUACCUACUCUUGACCUCCAGAGAACU